UUUCAUUUCUUCCUUCCAUUAAUUAUGUUUCUCAUAUAGCCCUAUUCCUCAUGAUGCUGCAUUUGUUUUAGUAGAUACAAAUUUUCACUUACACACAAACACAAACACAAGAAAAGCUAAUAAGAGAAGAGUGGUAGUAAAUUGAAGAAGAAUGAAAAUUCCAACAAGGCUCUCUAGCUUUCAAAGGCCACAUCAAUUGUUGAUGUUUCAUAGAAAACGCAACAGCAAAGUUAUUAGCUCUUCAGUGACACUUGGGCUUGGCAAUAAUAAUGUGAAAAGAUGAUGUUACCCUUCAUCUUCAAGCAUUCUGAGGGAGGUUUUUUUCAAGUUGAAGAAUAAAUUGAAGCAAGCUCUCGGGUGGAAAAGGAGCAAUGAUACUCGAAACUAUACCUAUGAUUUUCAUAGCUAUUGGCUCAAAUUUGAUGAUGGUCCUCCUUCAAUUCAUCAUGUCCCAUCUAAAAUUGUAUUUUGAUAAAGCAGCAGUUAUUGUGUUAUGAGCAUGAGAUGUAUAGAUCGGAUCAUGCUGAGCGCAUUGUUGGGAGGCUUGAUCGAGUGGCACCUCGGAUCUUGCGCACCAGAUGGAAUCUGAUGACACGGUCGCCAGAGCAGAUUAGGCCAUAUCUUAGGAGAGCCUGGUUUGAGUACGUGGCCUAUAUGGUCGAGUUCGAGCACGAUUGGUCGCUUGCCUCGACAUUGAUAGAGAGGUGGAGGCCUGAGUCCCAUACAUUUCAUUUACCGUGCGGGGAGAUGACUAUCACCCUGUAGGUUGUGGCCUAUCAGUUGGAACUCAGGAUUGACGGUAAUCCUGUGAGUGGAUGCAUAGGUGGGUGGGAGAAGCACCAUCAGAGAUGGACCAUUGAGGAGUUAUGUGAGCAGAUUCUGGGUGUUGUUCCCGGCCCAAAAGAAAAACAGUCACAGACGAAGUGAACUGUGAAGCUCACUUGGUUCCACAACACGGUUUGUGGAGAGAUGGAGCAGGACGCCACAGAGGAGUGCGUGA